GCUGGAGGGGGGGGGGGUACAGCCCUGCCCUCAUUGCCAGGGAGGUCUGCGUUUCACAACGCGAUGCUCCGGUGCACGUAACAGCCAGGGAAGGUCUGGGGUGUUUCACAACGUUGGGGGACCAUCCGCUCGGUUGCAGAAUUUGGUAGCGAUUUCAGGAAACGGAGCUUUGGCCAUUGUAAAAUCCUGAGGUGGGGUGGGGAGAGGAUGGGCUGAGGGUACGGUGUGGGCUGGGGGGCUCAGGGUUAGGGUUAGGGGCUCAGGGGUAGGGUUAGGGGCUCAGGGGUAGGGUUAGGGGCUCAGGGGUAGGGUUAGGGGCUCAGGGGUAGGGUUAGGGCCAGUGGGUUCAGGGUCAGGGUUUGGGUCAAGGUUAGGGUUAGGGACUUGGGGUUAGGGUUAGGGCCAGGGAGUUCAGGGUUAGGGUCAAGGUUAGGGUUAGGGCCAGGGGGCUCAGGGUUAGCAUUAGGGUUAGGUCCAGGAGGUUCAGGAUCAGGGUUAGGGUCAAGGUUAGGGUUACGGGGCUCAGGGUUAGGGCCAGGGGGUUCAGGGUUAAGGUUAAGGUUAGGGUUAGGGUUGGGGCUGAGGGGCUCAGGGUUAGAGUUAAGGCUCGGAUUACUGUUAGGGUUAGGGUUGGGGCUGGAGAGCUCAGGAUUAUGGUUAAGGUUAGGAUUACUGUUAGGGUUUGGGCUAAGGUUAGGGUUAGGAUUAGGAUUAGGGCCAGGGGGCUCAGGGUUAGGGUUAAGGUUAAGGUUAGGGCCAGGGGGCUCAGGAUUAGGGCUAAGGUUAGGGUUAGGGCCAGGGGGCUCAGGGUUAGGGUUAAGGUUAGGAUUAGGGCCAGGGGGCUCAGGGUUAGGGUUAAGGUUAGGGUUAGGGCCAGGGGGCUCAGGGUUAGGGUUAAGGUUAGGGUUAGGGCCAGGGGGCUCAGGGUUAGGGUUAAGGUUAGGAUUAGGGUUUGGACCAAGGGGCUCAGGGCAGCAGCUGGAUGCUCGGCUGUGCCCACCAGGCAGCAGCAAUGAUCCCCCCAAGCAUCUUCUGUCAUUCAGUCACUCAAUGCAGCCCUUAGCAUGAGCCCAGGUACCACUCUGGGGUCUCAGGGAUGUGAUGGCACAUCAUCCCAUCGGGCUCAGCAGGUCUCUCUGUGCAGCAGAGCCUCCCAGCCCGGUCGCACCCAUGCACUGUGCUAUGGUGAGCUGCAAUCCCAGCCCUGAGGCUGCAGCGUUGGGCAAGCAUUGCUGUGGGGCAGGGAGUGGGAGAGGGCAGUGAAUAGCACAGAGGAUCUGGUUCAGGGCAAGCAGGACCAAUAGUGACUGCAGGAGCUGAGCCCUGGUCAGGCAACCCAUGAUUGGUAGUGUUUGCUCAAGUGCUUUCCAAAUACAUUUACGAGCAGAAGAGAAGGGCUUGCAGUCAGCAGAGGACAAGGUGGGGUUCGUGCUGCUGCGUUUCGUGGAAGGUUUAGCACGAGAUUGGGAAGGAAGUAGGUCCUGGUUGCUAGAUGUGGUUUUAGGGUGGUGAAAUCAGGGGGAUGCACUGAGCAAGGCAGAUCUUUAAGGACCCUUCCAACUCAGGACGUUCUACAGACCCUGAGCAGGAAGGGGUCUGCAGUGGGGGCCGGGUCUGUCUGAGAUGCCCACAGCUGCAGCUGCUCAUUGCUG
ensembl:lncRNA